UAGACAUGUGUUCUCUCUCCUCACUUUCUUUGUUUUCAUCCAAAUGGGAGGCCGGCACUGUCUCACCAACGAUGGGCGAUCGGUGAGGCUGCAAAUCGCUUCUCCUCUGUUGCAGAUCAGCCAAUGCCCAAGAUUGACCUUCCCCUGUCGCCCCUGUUGCUGUAAACGAGUUUGUCGAGCCUUAGACUUGAGCUCGAGCUGAACAAGAAACUGCUGAGUUGAGGUCGAGUUACUUCCAUCGAGCUAUUCUCGAGCUCGAGCUCGAGCUAGCUGAACUCAGGCUCGACUUGGCUCGUGUUCACCCCUACUAUAAAGCAGUAAACCUGGUGAUGGGUCAAUACUUGUUGUCUGAAGCUUGUACACAAAACCAAUUAGUGAUAAAAGGCUUUGUCUGCUUCAGUCAUGGAUGGGAUAGAUGGGAAGGAAAUGUUGCCUGCACCAUGUUGGCAUAUUGGUGGGUUUUAGGGAAUGGAUAAGACAUGCAGCCCCAAAAUAUGGUUAAAGACUAGGCUGCGGUUAAGAAUUAGGUAGCAUACAGGGUGAAGACAUACCAAAUCGAAGUGUUCCACGACCUGUCUGCACCAGGCCAGCCACCGGUCUCAACUUGGGAUACUUCCACCGCCUCUAGAUUAAUUAAAGUUUCAUAGCUCUUUCAAGAAUAAAUGUUGUAGCAUGAAAUAAAAGAUGAAUGUAAUCGCAUAUAUGCAGUGCAGUAGUUAUAAUGCCUUCUUAAUUUGAAUAAGUUUGCUGCAUGCUCUUGGAUUUUGUCAAAGUAAAGAAUAUGUAGUCUAUGCUUUAUAAUUAUGACUUGACUUACUUUUUUUGUGUAACAAUCAUGCAGGCUACAUUCUUAAUCAUUUAAUUUUAUUUUCCUUUCUA